rnacentral:tRNA from 1 species
GCCGACAUGGUGGAAUUGGUAGACACGCACGGUUCAGAGCCGUGUCGCCGCAAGGCGGUGAGAGUUCAACUCUCUCUGUCGGCAC